rnacentral:lncRNA from 1 species
UUAUUUUCCCUUUAGCUUGAGUAAUUCUAGUCUUGGAGAGAGGUUGCUGGCAGUUCUUUCCACCAUAACCUGAAGGCAAAUGUCAUUCUUCUCCUAUGGAAACUGGCAAGAAUAAUGUGGGGUACAGUCUUAAUGUGAACAUAAGAUACUCAUGUCUCCUUCACUGCAUUCACAGAAACCUGCCAAGGGCUGGGAAUGAACUUCUUUAUACAGAAGAAAAUACAUUUAUAUACUAAAAUCUGAUUCUGAAAGUAAAGAAUCUAUUUACUUAGUGAUUAAUUAUGAGACGCUUCCAGGUUACUCGUAAGCAUGUACAAAUUAUUUAUUCCUACUCCAUAGUCCUUACUCCGAGCAAAACACACACAAUAGUCUCUAAGCCUGAAACAUCUCCUCAGAGUUCUUGGUGUUACCCAGAUAACUGCUGUCACAACAUUGAAUGGAUUUAUUUCUUUUUUUUAAAGGGAUCAACCUUCCUACUCACAGGCUUCCAUGGCCAUGCAAAAAUCUUUUUUGAAGCUCCUCUUUGAGUUCCCUGUGGCAAGAAACAGCUGUUUCUGUUCUAAACUCGGCUCCUCAUGCUCUCAGGCCAAUCAUGUCAAUCUGGUGGAGUAAAGGUCUAAAGGUAAAUUAUGUUCACAUCUCUUUUUAGGUAUUUUUGUGUCCAUUAAUUGUAUUGGGUAUCUUCACAGUGAUUCAGGUGUCCCAGUGUAUUUUCCAGUCCUUCUGUAAUUUGCAAAUGCUCACAGUCAGAAAUGGUAUAUUACAAAGAGCCGCUCCUACUAAAAUAUCACCAGUGGGAAUCCAUCAGUGAAAUUUUAUGUUCCAUUAAUGAAAUUUCCAUUAGUGAAAUUAGUUAUACAGCCAACAUAACCAUCUAUUAUAUGUUGGAUCAACACUCCUCUCCC